GUGAUAGUUAAACGUAUAUCAUCGACACGACACGAGAUCCCGUACUUUCCAAUUCACGCAUGAUUUGCAUGAAGUGACAGAAGAUGUAUAAUAUGCGUGACAUAAACUAUACAUUUUCUGUUAGUCAUGUGCAUCAUGCGUGAAUCUGAAAGUACCCAUCGAAAUUUUGCAGCGUACAUUGUCAGAGAGAGAAAGAGAGUUAUGUGUAUUUCAUGUUAAAAUCCGGAUCAAUCGAAAAAAUAGAAUUCUGCUGUCGGUAUCCAUGAUAGAUCGUUGAUAAUGUAGUAAUCUGUAACAUUAAUGUAUCGUACAAGCGACAGUUGCUCCAGUAAUCUCAAUCUUUCAAGUGUUCAUGAGUAACGCGAGAGGGAGAGAGCUACUGUACAGCUGAGCGUAAUAAUAAGAUGAUUGUAAAGUAAGGGGUGAUAGCGAAAAGUCUGUGGAGAGAGGACGGCCUUGAUGACACACGGAACACGAGUCGAGGAAUACUCCGGCAGUUCGCGAUUCGUUACGAUGCUUUACACAUACUUAAUUGUACAUUGAUUGUACAAGUGAUCGAGUAGAGUAGAAUGACGAGCUGUCACUGUAUUCGAGAAUAGACAGGUGUCAAACAACGCGACGAGCGGACCGAGUGGAAAAACGCGCGCGCGCGCGCGCGCUUACUUUCGAAACAAUCAGCGAUAAAAAGUUAAAAAGGCGCGAAAAUGGAAUUGUUGCAACAAUUUGCGGACUUGUUGAGCUUGAUAACGAUAGGCAUGUGCUUCGUAUUGAAAAUUCCGCAGAUAUUAAAACUGCUUUCCGUGAAAUCAGCCGACGAAAUAUCUACCCUAGGAUUAUUCUUAGAAUUAACGAGUUACACUGUGAUGACUAGUUACAAUUACACGAAUGGAUACUCGGUACUAUCGUACCUAGAGUAUCCGAUAAUAUUAGUGCAGGAAUAUAUACUGAUAUUCCUCGUAUUGAAAUAUUUAAAUAGACUCAACGUUUGGUCAUUUUUAUGUGCUGUUAUAUAUUUUAUGCUGAGCGCUUGUUUGCUGUUGGAAAUUGCUCCGAAAAUCGUACUUACAUUUCUAGCGCCGAUGUGUACUCCGAUCUCCGCUUCCAGUAAGAUCGUUCAAUUAUUGUCCAUACUUCGCGCUAGAAACGCAGAGUCGGUGUCGCCUCUCACCUGGUUUAUCUCCGCCUUCACGAACUUGACGAGGGUGUUCACGAUAUGGAUGGAUUCGGCCGAUGUACUAUUACUGGGAAACUUUAUCCUCUCAGUGUUGUUAAGCUCAAGCAUCAUGUUCUCUGCCCUUUAUUACAGAAGUCGUCCGAAACAAGAUUAAACGAAAAUUAUAUAAAUAAUUUAAUUGCAAGUAUAUUCCAUGAGAAAUUGAUGAUUUACAUGAUUUGCAUGAAUCAGUUUGAGUUGCAAGAUAAUGCCGAAAAAAAAUGAUAAAGAAUAUUGUAUUCUAUAUGUGAGAGUAUAUGUGUGUCUGAUGCCA
rnacentral:misc_RNA from 1 species